rnacentral:rRNA from 1 species
GUGCGCAGCUACACAUGCAGUCGAGCGGUAGAGAGAAGCUUGCUUCUCUUGAGAGCGGCGGACGGGUGAGUAAUGCCUAGGAAUCUGCCUGGUAGUGGGGGAUAACGUUCGGAAACGGACGCUAAUACCGCAUACGUCCUACGGGAGAAAGCAGGGGACCUUCGGGCCUUGCGCUAUCAGAUGAGCCUAGGUCGGAUUAGCUAGUUGGUGAGGUAAUGGCUCACCAAGGCGACGAUCCGUAACUGGUCUGAGAGGAUGAUCAGUCACACUGGAACUGAGACACGGUCCAGACUCCUACGGGAGGCAGCAGUGGGGAAUAUUGGACAAUGGGCGAAAGCCUGAUCCAGCCAUGCCGCGU